rnacentral:rRNA from 1 species
UACGAAGGGUGCUAGCGUUGCUCGGAAUCACUGGGCGUAAAGGGUGCGUAGGCGGGUCUUUAAGUCAGGGGUGAAAUCCUGGAGCUCAACUCCAGAACUGCCUUUGAUACUGAGGAUCUUGAGUCCGGGAGAGGUGAGUGGAACUGCGAGUGUAGAGGUGAAAUUCGUAGAUAUUCGCAAGAACACCAGUGGCGAAGGCGGCUCACUGGCCCGGUACUGACGCUGAGGCACGAAAGCGUGGGGAGCAAACAGG